AAAAAGAGCCUAAGACUUUUCACAUUGAAGCAAAAGAAAGGGGAAAAAGAAACCUUACCACUACAUGUGAAUAUAAAAAAAAAAAGAGAACCCAACCAAUUGUCCUGCGACCGGAUGGAAGAGCCCAGCUGACACAGCCCAACUGAGUCUCAGGAAGCUUGGGGUUGACUCCUCUUACUUCAGGAAAGCCUGAACUCCAUUAUUGCACGAUUUGCAGCAUGGCCUGAAUAGAUUUGGUCAUUAUUAAGUCAAAUUAAAUACGGUGAAAGAAAGACUGCUAUCAUUAUCAAACAGGCUGACCUUGAGCUGCAAUGCUCCAACCUCUGC